rnacentral:rRNA from 1 species
GACGAACGCUGGCGGCGUGCUUAACACAUGCAAGUCGAACGGAAAGGCCCUGCUUUUGUGGGGUGCUCGAGUGGCGAACGGGUGAGUAACACGUGAGUAACCUGCCCUUGACUUUGGGAUAACUUCAGGAAACUGGGGCUAAUACCGGAUAGGAGCUCCUGCUGCAUGGUGGGGGUUGGAAAGUUUCGGCGGUUGGGGAUGGAAUCGCGGCUUAUCAGCUUGUUGGUGGGGUAGUGGCUUACCAAGGCUUUGACGGGUAGCCGGCCUGAGAGGGUGACCGGCCACAUUGGGACUGGGAUACGGCCCAGACUCCUACGGGAGGCAGCGGUGGGGAAUAUUGCACAGUGGGCGGAAGCCUGAUGCAGCAACGCCGCGUGCGGGAUGACGGCCUUCGGGUUGUAAACCGCUUUCGCCUGUGACGAAGCGUGAGUGACGGUAAUGGGUAAAGAAGCACCGGCUAACUCCGUG